rnacentral:rRNA from 1 species
GAUGAACGCUGGCGGCGUGCCUAAUACAUGCAAGUCGAGCGAACAGACGAGGAGCUUGCUCCUCUGACGUUAGCGGCGGACGGGUGAGUAACACGUGGAUAACCUACCUAUAAGACUGGGAUAACUUCGGGAAACCGGAGCUAAUACCGGAUAAUAUAUUGAACCGCAUGGUUCAAUAGUGAAAGACGGUUUUGCUGUCACUUAUAGAUGGAUCCGCGCCGCAUUAGCUAGUUGGUAAGGUAACGGCUUACCAAGGCAACGAUGCGUAGCCGACCUGAGAGGGUGAUAGGCCACACUGGAACUGAGACACGGUCCAGACGACUACGGGAGGCAGCAGUAGGGAAUCUUACGCAAUGGGCGAAAGCCUGACGGAGCAACGCCGCGUGAGUGAUGAAGGUCUUCGGAUCGUAAAACUCUGUUAUUAGGGAAGAACAAAUGUGUAAGUAACUAUGCACGUCUUGACGGUACCUAAUCAGAAAGCCACGGCUAACUACGUG